rnacentral:rRNA from 1 species
GCUUACGGCUAUACCACCCUGUCUGUGCCUGAUCUUGGAAACUAAGCAGAGUCAGGCCUGGUUAGUACUUUGAUGGGAGACCGCCUGGGAAUACCAGGUGCUGUAANNN